AAUAAAUUUUUAUAGUUUAAAUAUUUUAUUAUAAGUUUAUUUUACAUAUAAAUUUUAGUAUUAAUUUUUAAUUAUUUUAAAAAUAAUUAAUUAAUUUUGUAGUAAUUAAUAUUAAAAAUUUAAGAAAUUAAGAUUUAGUAAUAUUUUAAUUAAUAACAAAUUUUGUGCCAGCAGUUGCGGUUAAACAAAAGUUAAAUUAAAUUUUAUUAGAAAUUAAUAAUUAAUAAAUAAUAUAAUUAAUUAAAUAUUAAAUUAUUAGGUGAAAUUUUAAUUUAAUUAAAUUUAAUUUUAAAAUUAUAAUUUAAUAAAUUUUAUUUAUAAACUAGGAUUAGAUACCCUAUUAUUAAAAAAUUAAAUUUUAAUUCUAAAAUAGUAUGUAAUUAUUUAUUGAAACUUAAAUAAUUUGGCGGUAUUUUAGUUCAUUUAGAGGAAUCUGUUUAAUAAUUGAUAAUCCACGAAUAAAUUUACUUAAUUUAAUAUUUUGUAUAUCGUUGUUAAAAAAAUAUUUUUAGAUAAAAAUAAUAUUUAAAAAUUAAAAAAAAAAUUAAAUCAGAUCAAGAUGCAGAUUAUAAUUAAGAAUAUAAUGGAUUACAAUAAAUUUAUUUAUUACUAAUUUUAAUUUGUAAAAGUUAAAUGAAGGUGGAUUUAAAUGUAAUUUUAAUUAAUUUAUUAAAAUGAUUAAAAAUUAAUAUAUGUACAUAUUGCCCGUCGCUUUCAUUAAUAAAUUGGAAUAAGUCGUAACAAAGUAGAGAUACUGGAAAGUGUUUCUAGAAAUAA
rnacentral:ncRNA from 1 species